rnacentral:rRNA from 1 species
GCUAACAGGCGUCGAGUGGCGGACGGGUGAGUAACGCGUAGGAAUCUACCAAAUAGCGGGGGAUAGCCCGGAGAAAUCCGGAUUAAUACCGAAUAAUCUCUACGGAGGAAAGGGGGCUUCGGCUCUCGCUAUUGGAUGGGCCUGCGUCGGAUUAGCUAGUUGGUGAGGUAAAGGCCUACCAAGGCGACGAUCUUUAGCUGGUCUGAGAGGAUGAUCAGCCACACUGGGACUGAGACACGGCCCAGACUCC